UUCUUACGGGGGGCAGCAGUGGGGAAUAUUGCACAAUGGGGGAAACCCUGAUGCAGCAACGCCGCGUGAAGGAAGACGGUUUUCGGAUUGUAAACUUCUGUUCUUAGUGAAGAAAAAUGACGGUAGCUAAGGAGCAAGCCACGGCUAACUACGUGCCAGCAGCCGCGGUAAUACGUAGGUGGCAAGCGUUGUCCGGAAUCACUGGGCGUAAAGGGCGCGUAGGCGGUUUAAUAAGUCAGUGGUGAAAACUGAGGGCUCAACCCUCAGCCUGCCACUGAUACUGUUAGACUUGAGUAUGGAAGAGG
rnacentral:rRNA from 1 species